rnacentral:rRNA from 1 species
CCCUUAGAUGUUCUGGGCUGCACGCGCGCUACACUGAAGCUAUCAACACGUUUUCCCUCCCUGAGCAGGGCGGGUAACCUUUUGAAUCAGCUUCGUGGUAGGGAUCGGGGCUUGCAAUUGUUCCCCGUGAACCAGGAAUUCCUAGUAGACGCGAGUCAUAAGCUCGCAUCGAUUAAGUCCCUGCCCUUUGUACACACCGCCCGUCGCUACUACCGAUUGAACGUUUUAGUGAGGCAUUUGGACCGACGCAUCUCAGUUUAACCGCUGGUUUGUGUUGGAAAGACUUCCAAACUUGAGCGUUUAGAGGAAGUAAAAGUCGUAACA